UACGUAGGUGGCUAGCGUUGUCCGGAUUUACUGGGCGUAAAGAGCGCGCAGGCGGUCGUUCAAGUCGAGUGUGAAAGCCCCCGGCUCAACUGGGGAGGGUCACUCGAUACUGAUCGACUCGAAGGCAGGAGAGGGAAGCGGAAUUCCCGGUGUAGUGGUGAAAUGCGUAGAUAUCGGGAGGAACACCAGUGGCGAAGGCGGCUUUCUGGCC
rnacentral:rRNA from 1 species